UACGAAGGGGGCUAGCGUUGCUCGGAAUCACUGGGCGUAAAGGGUGCGUAGGCGGGUCUUUAAGUCAGGGGUGAAAUCCUGGAGCUCAACUCCAGAACUGCCUUUGAUACUGAAGAUCUUGAGUUCGGGAGAGGUGAGUGGAACUGCGAGUGUAGAGGUGGAAUUCGUAGAUAUUCGCAAGAACACCCGUGGCGAAGGCGGCUCUCUGGGACGGUACUGACGCUGAGACGCGAAAGCGUGGGGAGCGAACAGG
rnacentral:rRNA from 1 species